rnacentral:rRNA from 1 species
CGGGACGGGUGAGUAACGCGUGGGUAACCUGCCUCAUACAGGGGGAUAACAGUUAGAAAUGGCUGCUGAUACCGCAUAAGACCACAGUACUGCAUGGUACAGUGGUAAAAACUCCGGUGGUAUGAGAUGGACCCGCGUCUGAUUAGGUAGUUGGUGAGGUAACGGCCCACCAAGCCGACGAUCAGUAGCCGGACUGAGAGGUUGAACGGCCACAUUGGGACUGAGACACGGCCCAG